UACGUAGGGUGCGAGCGUUGUUCGGAAUCACUGGGCGUAAAGGGCGCGUAGGCGGGUUUGCAAGUCGAUUGUGAAAUCCCAAGGCUUAACCUUGGAGCUGCAGUCGAAACUGCAAGUCUUGAAUGUCUGAGAGGGUGGGAGAAUUCCUGGUGUAGUAGUGAAAUACGUAGAUAUCAGGAGGAAUACCGGCGGCGAAGGCGCCUACCUGGCAGUACAUUGACGCUGAGGCGCGAAAGCGUGGGUAGCAAACAGG
rnacentral:rRNA from 1 species